rnacentral:rRNA from 1 species
GGCAGUAAGGAAUAUUGGGCAAUGGAGGCAACUCUGACCCAGCCAUGCCGCGUGCAGGAAGACGGCCCUAUGGGUUGUAAACUGCUUUUAAUAGGGAUUAAAGUCGACUACGUGUAGUUGUUUGCAAGUACCUAUAGAAUAAGCAUCGGCUAACUCCGUGCCAGCAGCCCCGGUC